UACGGAGGGUGCAAGCGUUAUCCGGAUUCACUGGGUUUAAAGGGUGCGUAGGUGUGUUGGUAAGUCAGUGGUGAAAUCCCCGAGCUUAACUUGGGAACUGCCAUUGAUACUAUCAGUCUUGAAUACUGUGGAGGUCAGCGGAAUAUGUCAUGUAGCGGUGAAAUGCUUAGAUAUGACAUAGAACACCAAUUGCGAAGGCAGCUGGCUACACAAAUAUUGACACUCAGGCACGAAAGCGUGGGGAUCAAACAGG
rnacentral:rRNA from 1 species